CGGGGCGUGGCGCAGCCUGGUUAGCGCACCUGUCUGGGGGACAGGGGGUCGCUGGUUCAAAUCCAGUCGCCCCGA
rnacentral:tRNA from 2 species